rnacentral:rRNA from 1 species
AUUGAACGCUGGCGGCAUGCUUUACACAUGCAAGUCGAACGGUAACAGGUUAAGCUGACGAGUGGCGAACGGGUGAGUGAUGCAUCGGAACGUGCCCGAUCGUGGGGGAUAACGCAGCGAAAGCUGCGCUAAUACCGCAUACGAUCUGAGGAUGAAAGCGGGGGACCGUAAGGCCUCGCGCGAUCGGAGCGGCCGAUGUCAGAUUAGGUAGUUGGUGGGGUAAAGGCUCACCAAGCCAACGAUCUGUAGCUGGUCUGAGAGGACGACCAGCCACACUGGGACUGAGACACGGCCCAGACUCCUACGGGAGGCAGCAGUGGGGAAUUUUGGACAAUGGGCGAAAGCCUGAUUCAGCAAUGCCGCGUGCAGGAAGAAGGCCUUCGGGUUGUAAACUGCUUUUGUACGGAGCGAAAAGGCUCUCUCUAAUACAGGGGGCUCAUGACGGUACCGUAAGAAUAAGCACCGGCUAUCUACGUGCCAGCAGCCGCGGUAACAC